rnacentral:rRNA from 1 species
GAGUUUGAUCCUGGCUCAGAUUGAACGCUGGCGGCAUGCCUUACACAUGCAAGUCGAACGGCAGCAUGAUCUAGCUUGCUAGAUUGAUGGCGAGUGGCGAACGGGUGAGUAAUACAUCGGAACGUGCCCUGUAGUGGGGAUAACUAGUCGAAAGAUUAGCUAAUACCGCAUACGACCUGAGGGUGAAAGUGGGGGACCGCAAGGCCUCAUGCUAUAGGAGCGGCCGAUGUCUGAUUAGCUAGUUGGUGGGGUAAAGGGCCCACCAAGGCGACGAUCAGUAGCUGGUCUGAGAGGACGAUCAGCCACACUGGGACUGAGACACGGCCCAGACUCCUACGGGAGGCAGCAGUGGGGAAUUUUGGACAAUGGGCGAAAGCCUGAUCCAGCAAUGCCGCGUGUGUGAAGAA